rnacentral:rRNA from 1 species
AUUGAACGCUGGCGGCAUGCUUUACACAUGCAAGUCGAACGGUAGAGGGGCAACCCUUGAGAGUGGCGAACGGGUGAGUAAUGCAUCGGAACGUGCCCAGUAGUGGGGGAUAGCCCGGCGAAAGCCGGAUUAAUACCGCAUGAGACCUGAGGGUGAAAGCGGGGGAUCGCAAGACCUCGCGCUAUUGGAGCGGCCGAUGUCAGAUUAGGUAGUUGGUGGGGUAAAGGCCUACCAAGGAGAUGACCUGUAGCUGGUCUGAGAGGACGACCAGCCAGACUGGGACUGAGACACGGCCCAGACUCCAACGGGGGGGAGCAGUGGGGAAUUUUGGACAAUGGGCGCAAGCCUGGUCCAGCCAUGCCUCGUGCGGGAAGAAGGCCUUCGGGUUGUAAACCGCUUUUGUCAGGGAAGAAAUCUUCUGGGCUAAUACCCUGGGAGGAUGACGGUACCUGAAGAAUAAGCACCGGCUAACUACGUGCCAGCCGCCGCCGUAA